CUUGACCCAACUCACUAUAUGAUUUUUCUUUUUAAUUAGAAACCUCCUAUAACUUAUAUGCAGUGGUCUAGCGAAUUUGCCCCUUCGUUUGCGUAUGCAUACUAGUCUUCCUUGGUCUAGUAUACAAAGAAUUUGAAAUUCAUGGUUCUUCAUCUUAAAAUGUUGGUUUCUUUAGUUGUAAGCAAGUAGAUCUGUUUUAUUUUAUAUUUAAGAUUUGUUUCGAGUCAAACAAGACACAUGCUUAACUAUUGGAGUUAGCAAUACAUAAAGUAUUGUUUUGAUAUUUUAAUCACUGAGUUUUGAUUCAAAGAAACUUCUUUCAUUAAAACUCAACUUUUUUUGAAAAUCUUUUCUUGUACCGGAUCAAGAACUUCUUUAGGUUCUGAAGUUUUGUUUUUAACCAGAGGAGAUUUCUUUUAACAAAGAUUGAGCUUUUAAAACAAUCCAUAAGAUAUUUCAGGUAUUUGGACUCUAAAGAUUGAGUUUACAGAUAUGGGUUUAAUUGGACGGUAAAGACUUGCUGAGAAAUGUGUAGUAGCUGGUGUUUGUGGAAUUGCAGUCCUCAUUGUUGUACUCAUACAGAGUUGAAAAAACAUGGUUACGAAUGGAAAUAACGGGCGCAGUGGUGCAAGAAACCCGAAUGCUACAAUGAGGAUUAUUGUGACACUUAUUACUGGAACUGUGUUUGGUUUUUUCAUAGGAGUAUCAUUUAUCAUGCUUGCAAUGACUAAGCAAUUUCCUUCCAGCUUUGCAACCCAAGCGUUGAUUCAAGAUGCUUGGUCUUCUGUAAUGGGUUUAGAUACAAGUAUAACAAACCAAGUCCAAUUGAAUGGUACAACAAAGAUAUGGGCUAUAACGAAUCCUAGAGGUGCAGAAAGACUACCGCCUGGAAUUGUUGCAUCCGAAUCAGAUUUGUAUCUCCGCAGAUUGGUGGGGAAGCCCAGUGAGGAUUUGACUAUUAGGCCGAAGUAUCUUGUAACCUUUACUGUUGGUAUCAAGCAGAAAAGUAAUGUCGACGCAGCAGUUAAAAAGUUUUCAGAAAACUUUACCAUAUUAUUGUUUCACUAUGAUGGUCGAACUACCGAAUGGGAUGAGUUCGAGUGGUCAAAACAAGCUAUUCAUGUCAGUGCUCAGAAACAAACAAAAUGGUGGUAUGCAAAACGAUUUUUACAUCCUGAUAUUGUGGCUCAAUAUGAUUACAUAUUUAUCUGGGAUGAAGACCUGGGAGUUGAAAAUUUCAAUGCCGAAGAAUACAUAAGACUAGUCAAGAAACAUGGUUUGGAAAUCUCACAGCCGGCUUUGCAGCAAAAUGGUAAAUUAAUCUGGCAGAUGACAAGAAGAAGGGAUGACCGAGAAGUACACAAGGAAACAGAAGAGAAGGCGGGAUACUGCGCAGAACCUCAUGUACCACCAUGUGCAGCAUUUCUUGAGAUAAUGGCACCUGUUUUUUCUCGAAAUGCAUGGCGAUGUGUGUGGUAUAUGAUUCAGAAUGAUUUGGUUCACGGGUGGGGUCUUGAUUUUUCCAUGAGGAGAUGCGUAGAGCCUGCUCAUGAGAAAAUGGGAGUUGUAGAUGCUCAAUGGGUUGUUCAUCAAAGUGUUCCAUCACUUGGGGACCAGGGAGAAGCACAAAAUGGGACGACGGCAUGGAGAGCGGUAAGAUUAAGGUGUAGACAAGAAUGGACGACAUUCCAUAAUCGAUUGAAGUCUGCAGAGAAACGUUACUAUAACAGCUUAGGCAUGGAUCCACCUGUGUCCAAAUCUCGUUAUUAUGGAUGAUCCUCGCGAUGAGGAUGACUUCGGCAACUACAGCGUUUUCAGUACCAUUUACACGUAUUUUCUUCCUUUUUCACAUUACAUUCAUUAAUCGAUACAAAAAUACAACUCUCAUAGUCAAAUAGCAGUAGCACACUCCCAGGAGCAUGAGAGUGUCAGUCUCGGUCUCCUAGAGAACUCUCAUAGUCAUAGGAAACUCGGCACAAAUGUAUAACCCACAAAGACAGCAACCAAUACAUCAAAACCAGCGACGAAACCAGAAAUUUCUAUGUGGGAGGGCUAAAAUUUUGUCUAUAAAAGUCCCCAUCCAGGUGGUUUUAGUGUCACACCGUGGAAAUUUCAAAUUGACCCUCAACUUAUAAUCUUAACAGCUACGUAAAGCGAACUUUUAUGUGAUGGAGUUGUCCAUUUUGAUCCCACUAUCGACAAUCAACAAACCCGAGAAAUGGAUGGCAAACGGAUAAAUUUAUUAGUUUGCCCAUUGUGGUCCAUCAAGAGUUGUGCGUCUCUUUAUUGACCAUGCAGUCAAGGAUGCCCCAUGCGGUCCAUAAUCAGCCGUCGACGUCCACACAUCCAUCGCUAGCGGGAAAAUAUUGAAUGUUCACCACAAAUUUAGCUAUAGUUUACUGGAAAUCAACAAAACUUGCUUCCUCCGUUCUUAAAUAAUAGGCUGAUUUCUAUAAAUGAAUGUUUGAAAAAAAUAGGCUGGUUUCCUAAUUGGGAAAGUCAAAUGUUACUAUAGUUUUCUGGGACCACUUUUCUCUUAACUUCUUUUGAUGACAAGUGUUUAUAGACCA